rnacentral:rRNA from 1 species
GACGAACGCUGGCGGCGUGCUUAACACAUGCAAGUCGAGCGGUAAGGCCCUUUCGGGGGUACACGAGCGGCGAACGGGUGAGUAACACGUGGGUGACCUGCCCUUAGCUCUGGGAUAAGCCUGGGAAACUGGGUCUAAUACCGGAUAUGACUCCAUGACGCAUGUUGUGGGGUGGAAAGCCUUGUGCGGCUAGGGGAUGGGCCCGCGGCCUAUCAGCUUGUUGGUGGGGUGANGGCCUACCAAGGCGACGACGGGUAGCCGGCCUGAGAGGGCGACCGGCCACACUGGGACUGAGACACGGCCCAGACUCCUACGGGAGGCAGCAGUGGGGAAUCUUGCGCAAUGGGCGAAAGCCUGACGCAGCGACGCCGCGUGAGGGAUGACGGCCU